rnacentral:rRNA from 1 species
AGCGAACGCUGGCGGCAGGCCUUACACAUGCAAGUCGAACGAACUCUUCGGAGUUAGUGGCGGACGGGUGAGUAACACGUGGGAACGUGCCUUUUGGUUCGGUAUAACUCAGGGAAACUUGUGCUAAUACCGAAUGUGCCCUUCGGGGGAAAGAUUUAUCGCCAUUAGAGCGGCCCGCGUCUGAUUAGCUAGUUGGUGAGGUAACGGCUCACCAAGGCGACGAUCAGUAGCUGGUCUGAGAGGAUGACCAGCCACACUGGGACUGAGACACGGCCCAGACUCCUACGGGAGGCAGCAGUGGGGAAUCUUGCGCAAUGGGCGAAAGCCUGACGCAGCCAUGCCGCGUGAAUGAUGAAGGUCUUAGGAUUGUAAAAUUCUUUCACCGGGGACGAUAAUGACGGUACCCGGAGAAGAAGCCCCGGCUAACUUCGUG